rnacentral:lncRNA from 1 species
GUCUGUGUUAAGCAUUCAAAAUUAGAGAAUGUAAUAUUGAAGUAACAUUUUUAUUCUCAAGUCUCAAUUCAAAAUUGUGAAUGCAUAGAUUUUACGGUUAAAGAAAAGAGGUCAGGAAAGUUAUGUGACACUUGUAUAUAUUUAUAAACGCGCGUCUGGCGUACUAAAUUAUAUUCCUGGUACCUUUGAUAACUGUUUGUAACUGCAAUUUGAUAUUGGAAUGGGGGUGAAAUGAGGUAAGACUAUAACAAAUCGACAGCAUUUUAAAGAUUUUUUUUUUUAAAUUAAACCAAAGUCUACUGCAAGGGAUGUUUAACGACCUCAGUGAUCACCCAUGGUGAUCUCGCACGCGGUCAGCUCUACAGUUUCACCUAGUUCAAGAUUAUACAAGAAUUUAAAAGCUUGUGGUUUACUGGUUGUCAAUCACAACAUGGUAUUUGUUUUUCGUAAAUAAUUUUGUUAUAAAUAUUGCCGUUAAUUUUCUCGUAUCGUAUAUUCCAUAUUAUCAUCGAAAUAAUUC